rnacentral:lncRNA from 1 species
AGAUGUACACCCCCCCCGCCCCCCCCCCCAGCGCCGCGUUCCCAUCCCGUGGGGGUGGCUCUGGGGAUGCUCUCCAAAGCGUUUUCUCUCCCCAAACCCCCAGCCGCCCCCUCCCACCCCCGGGUCUCACCUCAAUACACAAGAAAGGAGCAGGGUGGGUUUGUCAUCCCCGGCCAUAAUUAAGGACUCACCCUUCCGAGCCCCUUCUGUCCGGGGGGGGUCAAGAAGAGAAGGGAGGAAGGGGAAAACUCUGAAAGGAAAGAGAGAGGAGGGUGUCGGAAAGGAGAAAAAAAGAGACGGGGUAAAACGAAAGCGGAGAUGACACGAAGGGAACCCCUCUGACCUUUGAAGCUUUGGGGAGGGGGCGGCGGGGACCCCUUCCUUCCUCCUUUCAGGAACGCGUCGGAUUCCUGCGGGAAGGAGGAGCGGGGGCUGCGGGGCGGAAAGGAACGGGAUGGGAAAGAAACGGAGCCGCAGCACCGCGAAUCGUUCGGCCCCAAUUGCCGGGGGUGCCGCUCCGCCCCAGAGCUUCGUCCAACUCCGGCUGUUAUCAUUUCCUCCUCAAAGCGGUGCCACCCUACAUCAUUACAUCCCCCCCCCCGGGCACGGGAAAAGCAAUUGAGGGGGGGGGCACAGCCCCAACGGGGGGGCAGAGGGGGCGGUGGGUACCGCUGUGAUGCUCCGACCGAUGGGGUGAAGGACCAAAGCGCGCCGGGAGCGCACGGAUGGGGAGGGGGGGAAAAAAAGGGGGGGGAACGUGGGGUGUCCCGGGUUGGGGCAGCAGAGAGGCGGCUUUGAUUUGCACGGCGGUUCGCACAUCCGAAGGAUGACGCUUAAAACGGACCCGAAGGAAACAGAGGAGUGAUUAAAGCGCGUUAAUUGCUGGGGCGGCCUCGCAGAUGUUUGCGCGCGUCUCCCAGCACCGGUGGCACCGCAGCAGCCGUUGCGGGGGAGGGGGGGGGUAUACGGGGUUCCGUGCCCGGACAGACAGAGCUCAGGACGGACAGACGCAGCUCCACGUGCGUUGGGUCCUUGCAGGGCAGCGGUUCCGUCUCAGAUCCACCACAGAGAGCUCCCAGUGCAAAACGGAGCCUUUAUUGGGGAAGAAGAACAGAUUGCCAGGUUUGUAGCAAACCCUGGAAGGAAAAGGGGAGGGGGAGCUCACAGCUGGGCAGCCCCCACUGUAGGGAUGGGGGGGGGGUCACAUCCCACUGCCCCUCCCUUGGCGUGCACCCAUUGCAGCUCAUCUCCUGGCUGCUGCCUUCCUGCCCCGGCCGCCUCCUCGGCCCUAUGGGGAAAAAAAAGGGAGCAGAGCAUCACAGCCAACCCAUGGGAUCAAAGUAUUUUGGG